AUCUAUGGCCAUACCAUCCUGAAUACACCCGAUCUCUUCUGAUCUCCGAAGCUAAGCAGGUUUGGACUUGCUUAGUACUCUGAUAAGAGGAAAAAAAAGGGUGAGUAAAUACAGCAC
rfam:Pongo abelii chromosome X.